AGUGAACGCUGGCGGUAGGCCUAACACAUGCAAGUCGAACGGCAGCACAGUAAGAGCUUGCUCUUACGGGUGGCGAGUGGCGGACGGGUGAGGAAUACAUCGGAAUCUACUUUUUCGUGGGGGAUAACGUAGGGAAACUUACGCUAAUACCGCAUACGACCUACGGGUGAAAGCAGGGGAUCUUCGGACCUUGCGCGAUUGAAUGAGCCGAUGUCGGAUUAGCUAGUUGGCGGGGUAAAGGCCCACCAAGGCGACGAUCCGCAGCUGGUCUGAGAGGAUGAUCAGCCACACUGGAACUGAGACACGGUCCAGACUCCUACGGGAGGCAGCAGUGGGGAAUAUUGGACAAUGGGCGCAAGCCUGAUCCAGCCAUACCGCGUGGGUGAAGAAGGCCUUCGCGUUGUAAAGCCCUUUUGUUGGGAAAGAAAAGCAGCAGGUUAAUACCCCGCUGUUCUGACGGUACCCAAAGAAUAAGCACCGGCUAACUUCGUG
rnacentral:rRNA from 1 species